AUGAUCUACUAACUCCAUUGGAGGACAACGAUUUGGAUGAAGCUGUGACUCAAAUUCGGCGGCAACAUCCCAACACUGGAUUCAAGAUGAUGGUUGGGCAUUUGAAUGCACAAGGCAUACGUAUACAAAGACAGCGUGUCCAGGAAUCCAUGCGGCGUGUGGACCCUGGUGGGAUUUUGGUGCGCACCCUUCAGCUGAACCCAAGAAGACGCCGGAGGUACUCUGUACCAGCCCCAAACAGUCUUUGGCACAUUGACGGAAAUCAUAAACUGAUAAGAUGGCGUAUUGUUGUGCAUGGUGGUAUUGACGGCUUUAGUCGUUUAAUCGUGUUCUUGAGUGCCGCCACCAACAACCGAG